rnacentral:rRNA from 1 species
UACGUAGGGGACAAGCGUUGUCCGGAUUUACUGGGCGUAAAGGGCACGCAGGCGGUUUUUUAAGUCAGAUGUGAAAGGUCCCGGCUCAACCGGGGAACGGCAUUUGAAACUGGAGAACUUGAGUAUUGGAGAGGCAAGUGGAAUUCCUAGUGUAGCGGUGAAAUGCGUAGAGAUUAGGAGGAACACCAGUGGCGAAGGCGGCUUGCUGGACAAAUACUGACGCUGAGGUGCGAAAGCGUGGGGAGCAAACAGG